AUUGAGGGCUGUGGGAUAGCCGAGGCGCUAAAAUGGGAAUCCGAAGCCAUUCCCAGUAUUUGCUCUUAGGCCAACUGAAGAGAAGACAACUAGGGGAAGAGAAGAAAAGUUGAAAAAGUGGUGGAGUAGCCAGAUAAGGGAUGUCCUCCACAUUUCUCCACCAGCCUGUGUUCCAGCUGAUUUUAUCAGACUCCUCUAGGCGCUCUCUUACCUCCUAGUUUCCAGUUUUGUUUGGCAGCGGCUCACACUGGUCGUUGAUUCUGACUCAUGGUGACCCCGUGUGUACAGACAGAACUGUUUCUGUUGGAAGCCGAUUGGCAGGCCUAUCUCUCAAGACACAUAAAGUACCAAGGACUGCCAGAAAAACAAGUGACUUUGUU